UUAUGUGAUCGUCUCUCGCAUAUCAAUAAGCGGAGGAAAAGAAACUAACAAGGAUUCCCCUAGUAACGGCGAGUGAAGCGGGAAGAGCUCAAAUUUGAAAUCUUAAGGGUUUCCCUUUACGAAUUGUAGUUUAAAGAAGUGUUUUCUGUUGAGGUUUUGGUAAAAGUUCUUUGGAAUAGGACAUCAUAGAGGGUGAGAAUCCCGUAUUUGACCUUUACUUUCAACUUUGUGAUACACUUUCAAAGAGUCGGAUUGUUUGGGAAUGCAGUCCAAAAUGGGUGGUAAAUUUCAUCUAAAGCUAAAUAUUGGCGAGAGACCGAUAGCGAACAAGUACCGUGAGGGAAAGAUGAGAAGAACUUUGAAAAGAGAGUUAAACAGUACGUGAAAUUGUCAAAAGGGAAGCGUUUGACACCAGUGUUGUUUUUCUGAAAAUCAAUUAAAGAACUGUUUAUGCUAAGCUGUUUAGACUUUAUCAGCUAUCUGUUUAGUUUUGAGCUUUUCUUUAAUGCACUUUUCAGUUAACAAGUCAACAUCAAUUUCUCUUGCUGUAAAAAAGCUUGAGGAAGGUGGCUUGAGAUUCGUCUUAAGUGUUUAUAGCCUCCUGCCUAUGCAGUCGGAGAGAUUGAGGUCUGCAGCGUAGAUCCUUCGGGGCUAAAUGCAUUUGCGCUAAGUUAUAGCACUUUAUAGACAACUUGUUGACUAUGAUUUGUCUUGUAGCUUACUCGCUUAUGUUAUUUUACCUACGCUUAGGAUGUUGAUAUCGCGCUCUCACUG
rnacentral:rRNA from 1 species